UAUGCUACAAAGUAACUUCUCGGCUACUCA
rnacentral:piRNA from 1 species